rnacentral:rRNA from 1 species
GCGUUAAGUUGCAGGGUAUAGACCCGAAACCCGGUGAUCUAGCCAUGGGCAGGUUGAAGGUUGGGUAACACUAACUGGAGGACCGAACCGACUAAUGUUGAAAAAUUAGCGGAUGACCUGUGGCUGGGGGUGAAAGGCCAAUCAAACCGGGAGAUAGCUGGUUCUCCCCGAAAGCUAUUUAGGUAGCGCCUCGUGAAUUCAUCUCCGGGGGUAGAGCACUGUUUCGGCUAGGGGGCCAUCCCGGCUUACCAACCCGAUGCAAACUGCGAAUACCGGAGAAUGUUAUCACGGGAGACACACGGCGGGUGCUAAUGUCCGUCGUGAAGAGGGAAACAACCCAGACCGCCAGCUAAGGUCCCAAAGUCAUGGUUAAGUGGGAAACGAUGUGGGAAGGCCCAGACAGCCAGGAUGUUGGCUUAGAAGCAGCCAUCAUUUAAAGAAAGCGUAAUAGCUCACUGGUCGAGUCGGCCUGCGCGGAAGAUGUAACGGGGCUAAACCAUGCACCGAAGCUGCGGCAGCGACACCGUGUGUUGUUGGGUAGGGGAGCGUUCUGUAAGCCUGUGAAGGUGUGCUGUGAGGCAUGCUGGAGGUAUCAGAAGUGCGAAUGCUGACAUAAGUAACGAUAAAGCGGGUGAAAAGCCCGCUCGCCGGAAGACCAAGGGUUCCUGUCCAACGUUAAUCGGGGCAGGGUGAGUCGACCCCUAAGGCGAGGCCGAAAGGCGUAGUCGAUGGGAAACGGGUUAAUAUUCCCGUACUUGGUGUUACUGCGAAGGGGGGACGGAGAAGGCUAUGUUGGCCGGGCGACGGUUGUCCCGGUUUAAGCGUGUAGGUAUGUGUUCCAGGUAAAUCCGGUUCACUUUAACACUGAGGCGUGACGACGAGGCACUACGGUGCUGAAGCAACAAAUGCCCUGCUUCCAGGAAAAGCCUCUAAGCAUCAGGUAACAUCAAAUCGUACCCCAAACCGACACAGGUGGUCAGGUAGAGAAUACCAAGGCGCUUGAGAGAACUCGGGUGAAGGAACUAGGCAAAAUGGUGCCGUAACUUCGGGAGAAGGCACGCUGACACGUAGGUGAAGUGAUUUACUCACGGAGCUGAAGUCAGCCGAAGAUACCAGCUGGCUGCAACUGUUUAUUAAAAACACAGCACUGUGCAAACACGAAAGUGGACGUAUACGGUGUGACGCCUGCCCGGUGCCGGAAGGUUAAUUGAUGGGGUCAGCGCAAGCGAAGCUCCUGAUCGAAGCCCCGGUAAACGGCGGCCGUAACUAUAACGGUCCUAAGGUAGCGAAAUUCCUUGUCGGGUAAGUUCCGACCUGCACGAAUGGCGUAAUGAUGGCCAGGCUGUCUCCACCCGAGACUCAGUGAAAUUGAACUCGCUGUGAAGAUGCAGUGUACCCGCGGCAAGACGGAAAGACCCCGUGAACCUUUACUAUAGCUUGACACUGAACAUUGAGCCUUGAUGUGUAGGAUAGGUGGGAGGCUUUGAAGUGUGGACGCCAGUCUGCAUGGAGCCGACCUUGAAAUACCACCCUUUAAUGUUUGAUGUUCUAACGUGGACCCGUGAUCCGGGUUGCGGACAGUGUCUGGUGGGUAGUUUGACUGGGGCGGUCUCCUCCUAAAGAGUAACGGAGGAGCACGAAGGUUGGCUAAUCCUGGUCGGACAUCAGGAGGUUAGUGCAAUGGCAUAAGCCAGCUUGACUGCGAGCGUGACGGCGCGAGCAGGUGCGAAAGCAGGUCAUAGUGAUCCGGUGGUUCUGAAUGGAAGGGCCAUCGCUCAACGGAUAAAAGGUACUCCGGGGAUAACAGGCUGAUACCGCCCAAGAGUUCAUAUCGACGGCGGUGUUUGGCACCUCGAUGUCGGCUCAUCACAUCCUGGGGCUGAAGUAGGUCCCAAGGGUAUGGCUGUUCGCCAUUUAAAGUGGUACGCGAGCUGGGUUUAGAACGUCGUGAGACAGUUCGGUCCCUAUCUGCCGUGGGCGCUGGAGAACUGAGGGGGGCUGCUCCUAGUACGAGAGGACCGGAGUGGACGCAUCACUGGUGUUCGGGUUGUCAUGCCAAUGGCACUGCCCGGUAGCUAAAUGCGGAAGAGAUAAGUGCUGAAAGCAUCUAAGCACGAAACUUGCCCCGAGAUGAGUUCU